rnacentral:rRNA from 1 species
GAUGAACGCUGGCGGCGUGCUUAACACAUGCAAGUCGAACGGUGAAGGCGGAGCUUGCUCUGCUGGAUCAGUGGCGAACGGGUGAGUAACACGUGAGCAAUCUGCCCCUGACUCUGGGAUAAGCGCUGGAAACGGCGUCUAAUACUGGAUACGAGCUGCGAAGGCAUCUUCAGCAGCUGGAAAGAACUUCGGUCAGGGAUGAGCUCGCGGCCUAUCAGCUUGUUGGUGAGGUAACGGCUCACCAAGGCGUCGACGGGUAGCCGGCCUGAGAGGGUGACCGGCCAAACGGGGAAUGGGAAACGGCCCAGACUCCUCCGGGGGGGAGGAGGGGGGAAAUUUGCAAAAGGGGGGAAAGCCUGAUGCAACAACGCCGGGGGGGGGAAGACGGCCUUCGGGUUGGAAACCUUUUUUAGGAGGGAAAAAGGGAAAGGGAAGGUACCUGAAAAAAAAGCGCCGGCUAAAUACG